UGGGGAAUUUUGGACAAUGGGGGAAACCCUGAUCCAGCCAUCCAGCGUGUGCGAUGAAGGCCUUCGGGUUGUAAAGCACUUUUGGCAGGAAAGAAACGUCAUGGGUUAAUACCCCGUGAAACUGACGGUACCUGCAGAAUAAGCACCGGCUAACUACGUGCCAGCAGCCGCGGUAAUACGUAGGGUGCAAGCGUUAAUCGGAAUUACUGGGCGUAAAGCGUGCGCAGGCGGUUCGGAAAGAAAGAUGUGAAAUCCCAGAGCUCAACUGUGGAACUGCAUUUUUAACUACCGGGCUAGAGUGUGUCAGAGGGAGGUGGAAUUCCGCGUGUAGCAGUGAAAUGCGUAGAUAUGCGGAGGAACACCGAUGGCGAAGGCAGCCUCCUGGGAUAACACUGACGCUCAUGCACGAAAGCGUGGGGAGCAAACAGG
rnacentral:rRNA from 1 species